CCUUCUGUUAUUCAUUUUCACUCGUUCUUAAGGGAUCAUUUCUAACUUGUGUAACGUUUUUCUGUGUCGAAUGAGCCCCACUGCGACAUUUUCAGCACGUAUAAAAUUGGGAUUUUCUUAUAUUCCUGGUAAAAAAACAUCCUCAACACUUAAUCACAUUCUGAUGUCAUAAAACUUUUUGCCAAUAAACACUGUUUUAUUUUCCUCCGAGUUACUCACCAGCGUACGAAAAAAAGCAACAAACUGAAUCCGCAGUUUUUUUUACAAAAAAAAACAAUCCUUGAAAGGUUAUCACUGUUUACUACGAAAACGCUUCCUUUACUACGAGCCUCGCGAGAAGACAACAAACUUUUGCCAUCAUAAUCAUCUUCCGAACAUUCGUCAUUGCCACAGCACGAUUCCGAUCGAGUGCUCCUUCGCGGUGAGUGACGUACGGGAUCGAUGAAAUGCUGAUGAAAUGCGGUUGCAGCUUUGCAUCAUCUAUUGGGGAUUCUGUUUUUGUUGUUCUAAUUGAUAAUUGUGCAGCAGCUGUACAAGGCCGUCCGUGGCCAGUAGCAUGAUAGCCGCGUUCUGGACAGUGAUUUCACCUAACUCUUUGUUAGGUAAAUCCUUAAUGGAAUAUACAUUGUUUCAAAAUUAAGGGAGGCACGUAAGUGCAACUGUUGGUGGAUUUCAAGGCAAUAUUGCGGAAUACAUUUCAUAAAGUAAAUAUAUAAAACCGUCAUGUAUCGAAACCAACAUAUAAAUCUUAUUGAUAAAUCCAAUAAAAAACACACGUCGCCGUGACUUUGGACUUUUUGUCAGUUCAACUCGUGAAGCUUUGUUUUGACGUUUGAAUUUGGCAUCGAAUAAUCCAGAUUGUUAUACAAAAUGGCUACAUCACGAAAAGACGGCGUCUUAUUGAGCGAUUGGAUAGAUAUUUCCUUAUCUCAAAUGAUCACACCGAAGAAACUGGCAUUAUCAAAUCGUAUCAUCGGGCAAACAACAACAGACCAUUGGAACUCGGAUCAAGUGGCCAACGUAGAACCGGUAAUUUCUUUUUUAUUCAUCAUUUGUCAGGAAUUUGGUAGUGAAAUCCCUCGAAAAACCUGCAUUAUUCC